rnacentral:tRNA from 2 species
GAGAUUGUAGCUCAGUCGGUAGAGCAACGGACUUUUAAUCCGUAGGUCCUGGGUUCGAGCCCCAGCAAUCUCA